UACGUAGGUGGCGAGCGUUGUCCGGAAUUACUGGGCGUAAAGGGUGUGUAGGCGGGGGGACAAGUCAGAUGUGAAAUACUGCAGCUUAACUGCGGGGCUGCAUCUGAAACUGUUCUUCUUGAGUGUGGUAGAGGGUGGCGGAAUUCCCGGUGUAGCAGUGAAAUGCGUAGAGAUCGGGAGGAACACCCGUGGCGAAGGCGGCUCACUGGCCCGAAACUGACGCUGAGGCGCGAAAGCGUGGGGAGCAAACAGG
rnacentral:rRNA from 1 species